UACGUAGGGUGCAAGCGUUGUCCGGAUUUACUGGGCGUAAAGAGCUCGUAGGCGGUUUGUCGCGUCGGCCGUGAAAUCUCCACGCUUAACGUGGAGCGUGCGGUCGAUACGGGCAGACUUGAGUUCGGUAGGGGAGACUGGAAUUCCUGGUGUAGCGGUGAAAUGCGCAGAUAUCAGGAGGAACACCCGUGGCGAAGGCGGCUCUCUGGGACGGUACUGACGCUGAGACGCGAAAGCGUGGGGAGCGAACAGG
rnacentral:rRNA from 1 species